GUUGAACGCUGGCGGCAUGCUUUACACAUGCAAGUCGAACGGUAACAGGUUAAGCUGACGAGUGGCGAACGGGUGAGUAAUGCAUCGGAACGUGCCCGAUCGUGGGGGAUAACGCAGCGAAAGCUGCGCUAAUACCGCAUACGAUCUGAGGAUGAAAGCGGGGGACCGUAAGGCCUCGCGCGAUCGGAGCGGCCGAUGUCAGAUUAGGUAGUUGGUGGGGUAAAGGCUCACCAAGCCGACGACCUGUAGCUGGUCUGAGAGGACGACCAGCCACACUGGGACUGAGACACGGCCCAGACUCCUACGGGAGGCAGCAGUGGGGAAUUUUGGACAAUGGGCGCAAGCCUGAUCCAGCAAUGCCGCGCGCAGGAAGAAGGCCUUCGGGUUGUAAACUGCUUUUGUACAGAGCGAAAAGGCUCUCUCUAAUACAGGGGGCUCAUGACGGUACCGUAAGAAUAAGCACCGGCUAACUACGUGCCAGCCGCCGCCGUAAAAC
rnacentral:rRNA from 1 species